rnacentral:rRNA from 1 species
CAGGCUUAACACAUGCAAGUCGAGCGCUCCCGCAAGGGGAGCGGCAGACGGGAGAGUAACACGUGGGAACGUGCCUUUUGGUUCGGAGCAACUCAGGGAAACUUGGGCUAAUACCGGAUAAGCCCUUACGGGGAAAGAUUUAUCGCCAAAAGAUCGGCCCGCGUCUGAUUAGCUUGUUGGUGAGGUAAUGGCUCACCAAGGCUACGAUCAGUAGCUGGUCUGAGAGGAUGAUCAGCCUCACUGGGACUGAGACACGGCCCAGACUCCUACGGGAGGCAGCAGUGGGGAAUAUUGGACAAUGGGCGAAAGCCUGAUCCAGCCAUGCCGCGUGAGUGAUGAAGGCCUUAGGGUUGUAAAGCUCUUUCGACGGGGAAGAUAAUGACGGUACCCGUAGAAGAAGCCCCGGCUAACUUCGUGCCAGCAGCCGCGGUAAUACGAAGGGGGCUAGCGUUGCUCGGAAUCACUGGGCGUAAAGCGCACGUAGGCGGACUCUUAAGUCAGGGGUGAAAUCCUGGAGCUCAACUCCCAGAACUGCCCUUGAUACUGGGAGCCUUGAGUCCGGAAGAGGUAAGUGGAACUGCGAGUGUAGAGGUGAAAUUCGUA